rnacentral:rRNA from 1 species
CGGGGUGAGUAAUGUAUGGGGAUCUGCCUGAUGGGGGGGGAGUAACUACUGGAAACGGUAGCUAAUACCGCAUAAUGUCUACGGACCAAAGCGGGGGACCUCCGGGCCUCGCGCCAUCAGAUGAACCCAUAUGGGAUUAGCUUGUAGGUAGGGUAACGGCUUACCUAGGCGACGAUCCCUAGCUGGUCUGAGAGGAUGAUCAGCCACACUGGGACUGAGACACGGCCCAG